GCCUACGGGGCGCAGCAGUGGGGAAUAUUGCACAAUGGGGGAAACCCUGAUGCAGCGACGCCGCGUGAGCGAAGAAGUAUUUCGGUAUGUAAAGCUCUAUCAGCAGGGAAGAAAAAUGACGGUACCUGAGUAAGAAGCACCGGCUAACUACGUGCCAGCAGCCGCGGUAAUACGUAGGGGGCAAGCGUUAUCCGGAUUUACUGGGUGUAAAGGGUGCGUAGGUGGCAGGGCAAGUCAGAUGUGAAAGCCCGGGGCUCAACCCCGGUACUGCAUUUGAAACGGUCCAGUUGGAGUGCAGGAGAGGU
rnacentral:rRNA from 1 species